GGACUACCGGGGUAUCUAAUCCUGUUCGCUCCCCACGCUUUCGCGUCUCAGCGUCAGUACCGUCCUAGAGAGCCGCUUUCGCCACGGGUGUUCUUCCUGAUAUCUGCGCAUUUCACCGCUACACCAGGAAUUCCACUCUCCUCUUCCGGACUCUAGCCAGAUGGUUUCGGUCGACGUCUAGAGGUUAAGCCUCUAGUUUUCACAACCGACCUACCUGGCCGCCUACACGCUCUUUACGCCCAAUAAAUCCGGACAACGCUUGCCCCCUACGUAUUACCGCGGCUGCUGGCAC
rnacentral:rRNA from 1 species